UUGUUUUAGCAAUGCAUAUUCUAAAAUUUGGAAUGAUGCAGAGAAGAUCAACAUAGCUCCUACACAAGGAUGACACGCAAAUUUGUGAAGCAUUCUGUAUUUAA
ensembl:snRNA U6 U6 spliceosomal RNA